rnacentral:rRNA from 1 species
GACGAACGCUGGCGGCGUGCUUAACACAUGCAAGUCGAGCGGUAAGGCCCCAGCUUGCUGGGGUACACGAGCGGCGAACGGGGGAGUAACACGUGAGUAAUCUGCCCUUGACGCUGGGAUAAGCUUCGGAAACGGGGUCUAAUACCGGAUCUGACACGCUCCUUCAUGGGAUGUGUGAGGAAACUUUUGUGGGUGGUGGAUCUGCUCGCGGCCUAUCAGCUUGUUGGUGGGGUAAUGGCCUACCAAGGCUUCGACGGGUAGCCGGCCUGAGAGGGUGACCGGUCACACUGGGACUGAGACACGGCCCAGACUCCUACGGGAGGCAGCAGUGGGGAAUAUUGGACAAUGGGCGGAAGCCUGAUCCAGCAACGCCGCGUGAGGGAUGACGGCCUUCGGGUUGUAAACCUCUUUCACCAUUGACGAAGCCGCACAGUGUGUGUGGUGACGGUAGGUGGGGAAGAAGCACCGGCCAACUACGUGCCAGCAGCCGCGGUAAUAC